rnacentral:rRNA from 1 species
UGGGGAAUUUUGGACAAUGGGGGGAAACCCUGAUCCAGCCAUCCCGCGUGUGCGAUGAAGGCCUUCGGGUUGUAAAGCACUUUUGGCAGGAAAGAAACGUCGCGGGUUAAUACCCCGCGAAACUGACGGUACCUGCAGAAUAAGCACCGGCUAACUACGUGCCAGCAGCCGCGGUAAUACGUAGGGUGCAAGCGUUAAUCGGAAUUACUGGGCGUAAAGCGUGCGCAGGCGGUUCGGAAAGAAAGAUGUGAAAUCCCAGAGCUUAACUUUGGAACUGCAUUUUUAAUUACCGGGCUAGAGUGUGUCAGAGGGAGGUGGAAUUCCGCGUGUAGCAGUGAAAUGCGUAGAUAUGCGGAGGAACACCGAUGGCGAAGGCAGCCUCCUGGGAUAACACUGACGCUCAUGCACGAAAGCGUGGGGAGCAAACAGGAUUAGAUACCCUGGUAGUCCACGCCCUAAACGAUGUCAACUAGCUGUUGGGGCCUUCGGGCCUUGGUAGCGCAGCUAACGCGUGAAGUUGACCGCCUGGGGAGUACGG